UGGGGAAUAUUGCACAAUGGGCGCAAGCCUGAUGCAGCCAUGCCGCGUGUAUGAAGAAGGCCUUCGGGUUGUAAAGUACUUUCAGUCGGGAGGAAGGUGGUAAGGUUAAUAACCUUAUCAAUUGACGUUACCGACAGAAGAAGCACCGGCUAACUCCGUGCCAGCAGCCGCGGUAAUACGGAGGGUGCAAGCGUUAAUCGGAAUUACUGGGCGUAAAGCGCACGCAGGCGGUUGAUUGAGUCAGAUGUGAAAUCCCCGGGCUUAACCCGGGAAUUGCAUCUGAUACUGGUCAGCUAGAGUCUUGUAGAGGGGGGUAGAAUUCCAUGUGUAGCGGUGAAAUGCGUAGAGAUGUGGAGGAAUACCGGUGGCGAAGGCGGCUCUCUGGUCUGUAACUGACGCUGAGGCUCGAAAGCGUGGGGAGCAAACAGG
rnacentral:rRNA from 1 species